CUGUGACUGUACUUCCGUGAUUUAGAUGAAGAGAAUGGGCUUGUUCUUCCCACACCAGAGCUGCAUAAGAUGGGGAAUAGACGCAGCUGAAAAAUAGCUCAGGAAGAAUUGUAAUGCCUCAUUUCCCGCCACACAGCUGUUGCAGGUCAGCUCACAGCUGAACUGGCAUGGGAGAAGAUGGGGAUGAAGAAAGUUACUGGAGGCAGAAGGUGGAGGAGGCAACUGUGAAGCUGCUGCUGCUGCUGCUGUUGCAACAUCAAGAACUGUGGUUCUCUCAUCACAGGGGCUGAAGGGCUAAAGGCCACACCAAAGCAGUUGGUCCUGCUCCCUCCCCAGCCCUGGCCAUGCCUCUUCCUUCUGCCUUUGUGCCAGCACUAGUCUCAUUGGCUGGCAAAACCUCUCUAGCCUUGGUUAGUUUUCAGUUCAUUUUUCUCAAAAAGAGGUAGCAAGAGCUAUGCAGAGUAAAUCUUGUCAGUGCCUUGUGCAAAAGCAGUUAAAUAGUGUCUCAUCGUUACUGACCACACUUCUCCCUACAGCUCCAAGAGUUCCAUUAUUUUGUUUUGAAAAUGCUUACCAUUCACUGGAGCACCAAAUCUCCCAGUCAUGACAUCAAAAAAAUUCCCAACGUUGGUUUCAACGCUACUGAAGAUGAUCCCACUGUUCUGGUUGCUGAAAUCCAAAUGAGAACAAAACCAAAACAGACAAUCAAAUGCAAGUCUGGAUCCAACAACGGAAAUCAUUAGCCAUCUGUUCAGAAAUUUGAGGAGCUCCAGAUGUGAGCUGAAAGCUUGGGCUGAUUUUCCUUAUCCCUGCACAGAUGCAUUUUCUAUGACGGCAAAUUGUUAACGUCUUGCUUCUCAUCCAGGAUCACAUCAAAGUUCAUCAUGUGUUAAAGGAAAGCAGCUGCAGUGGCAGCUUGAUGGUAUUUAUUGCUUUUUGUCUAGAUUCCAUUUCACAGUCUCUCUAACCCUAAGCUACUUUCCUUGGCCUGAUCAGAAGAGCUGAAAAAUAUGUCCUUUCUCCCUAGGUCUCAUUUAGAAGUAACAGGUCAACAGGGAUACACCAAGUUUUCCAAAAUAAUCCUGUACUUAAAACAGUAUUGUAUUCAAAAGUGGUUUCUCCUAUACCUACCCCAGAUGUAAAAUUCUUAAGCAUGGUGCUAACAAGAAAUGAUAUACUAUCCCAUUUGAAUUUUUA